rnacentral:rRNA from 1 species
UGGGGAAUAUUGCACAAUGGGCGCAAGCCUGAUGCAGCAACGCCGCGUGAGGGACGACGGCCUUCGGGUUGUAAACCUCUUUUGGCAGGGAAGAAGCGAAAGUGACGGUACCUGCAGAAAAAGCACCGGCUAACUACGUGCCAGCAGCCGCGGUGAUACGUAGGGUGCAAGCGUUGUCCGGAAUUAUUGGGCGUAAAGAGCUCGUAGGCGGUUUGUCGCGUCUGCUGUGAAAACCCGAGGCUCAACCUCGGGCCUGCAGUGGGUACGGGCAAACUAGAGUGCGGUAGGGGAGAUUGGAAUUCCUGGUGUAGCGGUGGAAUGCGCAGAUAUCAGGAGGAACACCGAUGGCGAAGGCAGAGCUCUGGGCCGUAACUGACGCUGAGGAGCGAAAGCA